rnacentral:rRNA from 1 species
CCUACGGGUGGCAGCAGUGAGGAAUAUUGGUCAAUGGACGCAAGUCUGAACCAGCCAUGCCGCGUGCAGGAAGACGGCUCUAUGAGUUGUAAACUGCUUUUGUACGAGGGUAAACGCAGAUACGCGUAUCUGUCUGAAAGUACCGUACGAAUAAGGAUCGGCUAACUCCGUGCCAGCAGCCGCGGUAAUACGGAGGAUUCAAGCGUUAUCCGGAUUUAUUGGGUUUAAAGGGUGCGUAGGCGGUCGGAUAAGUUAGAGGUGAAAUCCCGAGGCUCAACUUCGGAAUUGCCUCUGAUACUGUUAGGCUAGAGAGUAGUUGCGGUAGGCGGAAUGUAUGGUGUAGCGGUGAAAUGCUUAGAGAUCAUACAGAACACCGAUUGCGAAGGCAGCUUACCAGGCUACAACUGACGUUGAGGCACGAAAGCGUGGGGAGCAAACAGGAUUAGAUACCCUUGUAGUC